rnacentral:rRNA from 1 species
GAGUUUGAUCGUGGCUCAGGAUGAACGCUAGCUACAGGCUUAACACAUGCAAGUCGAGGGGCAGCAUUUUUAUAGCAAUAUAAAAGAUGGCGACCGGCGCACGGGUGAGUAACACGUAUCCAACCUGCCGAUAACUCGGGGAUAACCCUUCGAAAGAAGGCCUAAUACCCGAUGGCAUAUCCCUUCCGCCUGGUUGGGAUAUUAAAGAACUUCGGUUAUCGAUGGGGAUGCGUUCCAUUAGCUUGUUGGCGGGGUAACG